UUGUAGCUACAAAUGUGGAUUGUCCUCAAUUUUUAAGAUAAAAACAACUUGUAAAUGUCUGUAAAAAUUGUAUAUAUUUUUAUAGAAAGUCUAUUUCUUUGAAAUGUAAAGGCACAAGAGUAGAAUUUCCAUUAGUUUCUUCAUACCAUUUUGAAAUUUACAAUUUCUAUAGUUAGGAACCUAUUUCUUACAGCUUUUCUAUCCUAAACUUUGUCCUGGUCAAUUCUAGAUUGUAUACAGAACCACUUGAUGUAAUUGUAUGCAACCUGGUUGUGAUGGAACAAUUCUGAUUCAUAACUAUGUAGGCUUUAAUUUUCCUAUCAGAUUUUGAGAGGAAGAAAGAGGGAGAGUUAGAAACAUUGAUGAGAGAGAAACAUCAACUAGCUGCCU